AUGAACGCUAGCGGCAGGCUUAAUACAUGCAAGGCGAGGGGGCAGCAAUGUCACCGUCGUACGGGUGCGUAACGCGUAUGCAACCUACCUAUCACUGGGGGAUAGCCCGGGGAAACCCGGAUUAAUACCGCAUAAUACAUUUGGGCCACCUGGUUUGAUUUGUUAAAGAUUUAUUGGUGAUAGAUGGGCAUGCGUUCGAUUAGCUAGUUGGCAGGGUAACGGCCUACCAAGGCAACGAUCGAUAGGGGAGCUGAGAGGUUGAUCCCCCACACGGGCACUGAGAUACGGGCCCGACUCCUACGGGAGGCAGCAGUAGGGAAUAUUGGGCAAUGGAUGCAAGUCUGACCCAGCCAUGCCGCGUGCCGGAUGAAGGCCCUCAGGGUUGUAAACGGCUUUUAUUCGGGAAGAAGAGCAGGGAUGCGUCCCUGUGUGACGGUACCGAAUGAAUAAGCACCGGCUAACUCCGU
rnacentral:rRNA from 1 species